GGUUCUCGUAUCGACCCUUACGAAAAAAGCUUCUCGGUGGACCAUACUACUCAACUUCUCCUAUCUCAACCUUACUCUCUAGACUCGGGUAGAGAGUCUUUCCCACAAGGUUUUCUUUCAAUCAGUAGCGUUCAUUUGUUUUUGUUUGUAUCCCAUCAUCACAUAGCCAAAUCUGACAAGAUAAUAUUAACAAAUACAAGAAUAAGUAAUUAAAAUAAAAACAAAGAAUAAAAGAACAAAAAUAAAAUAUAUAAACCCCCCACACACAAAAGACAACUUAAGCUAGGCUUGACUUGUAAC
rnacentral:lncRNA from 1 species